CAGGUCCUCUUCAGAGAGUCUUGGACCACAGGACUCACACCACAGAAAACAGGAUCCUGGGCUUGGAACCAGAGAAGACCUUCUCAAGCACUUACCAGUUUUUUGGGCCUGGCCUAAGUUCUUUGUUGUUCAGAGAGGAGAAAAUCGGUUAAAGACUUAGUGGUUGGGACACCUUGAAGAAGACCUUUCUAAAAUGGCUCAAGUAUUUGGUCAUAACAAGGAAAGAAAAAAAAACCCCAAGUAUCUUGUUUAGUGCCAGCAUGGAGGCCUGAAAGGAGUGAAAAUGGAAUACUGGAAUGGAAACCUACUCACCUGAGGAAUUCAGACUUGUCUCCAGCUGUCUUAGUCACUCACCUAUUUGGCAACAGCUGGUU
rnacentral:lncRNA from 1 species